rnacentral:rRNA from 1 species
CGGGUGAGUAACACGUGGGUAACCUACCCAUCAGAGGGGGAUAACACUUGGAAACAGGUGCUAAUACCGCAUAACAGUUUAUGCCGCAUGGCAUAAGAGUGAAAGGCGCUUUCGGGUGUCGCUGAUGGAUGGACCCGCGGUGCAUUAGCUAGUUGGUGAGGUAACGGCUCACCAAGGCCACGAUGCAUAGCCGACCUGAGAGGGUGAUCGGCCACACUGGGACUGAGACACGGCCCAGACUCCUACGGGAGGCAGCAGUAGGGAAUCUUCGGCAAUGGACGAAAGUCUGACCGAGCAACGCCGCGUGAGUGAAGAAGGUUUUCGGAUCGUAAAACUCUGUUGUUAGAGAAGAACAAGGACGUUAGUAACUGAACGUCCCCUGACGGUAUCUAACCAGAAAGCCACGGCUAACUACGUGCCAGCAGCCGCGGUAAUACGUAGGUGGCAAGCGUUGUCCGGAUUUAUUGGGCGUAAAGCGAGCGCAGGCGGUUUCUUAAGUCUGAUGUGAAAGCCCCCGGCUCAACCGGGGAGGGUCAUUGGAAACUGGGAGACUUGAGUGCAGAAGAGGAGAGUGGAAUUCCAUGUGUAGCGGUGAAAUGCGUAGAUAUAUGGAGGAACACCAGUGG